rnacentral:rRNA from 1 species
GCGCAGCAGUCGAGAAUCCUCCGCAAUACACGAAAGUGUGACGGGGCCAUCCCGAGUGCCGUCCGCUGAGGACGGCUUUUCCCCAGUGUACAUAGCUGGGGGAAUAAGGAGAGGGCAAGCCUGGUGUCAGCCGCCGCGGUAAUACCAGCUCUCCGAGUGGUGGGGACGCUUAUUGGGCCUAAAGCAUCCGUAGCCGGCUGGGCAAGUCCUCCGUUAAAUCCAACGAUUCAAUCGUUGGGCUGCGGGGGAUACU